AUAUUAUAGAAUGUUAGGAUAAAGUGUAGUGUUUGUUUUUAUCGGUUUAAUAUCUGAUAUGUGGGUCAUCGACCCCACUUGAUGUUAAUUUAUUUUUUUACAAGGAAAGAACAAUUAUCUUAGCUUGAUAAUGUGGUUCUUCAUGCAUCGCCUUGAACUUCCACUACUGUUGUUACAACUUACGCACUCCUC